UAGAGCUCAAAUCUUAUGCAAUAAAUGCUCAUGUUUUCUAAACAAUUUCUGUUAUAAUUGUGGCUUUUGAAUUUUGGAUAUGUUUUUCAUGGACCUGAAUUGUGACUUGAUCCGAAAGUUUUGCGUUGUGAUCCGAUUGGGAUAGAAAAUGAGAUUUGUGGUGGUAGCGGAGGGUACGGAUUGAUAGGUUCGGGCUUGAAGCCCAUUACUGAUCUCCUUAAGGGUGCUGGGGUAACGUCCCGCAGUAUAGACCAGUAUAAAUAUUGUAAUAUUCAACUUUUUGUGAUAUAGUUGUGAGAUAUUUGGGAAACAC
rnacentral:misc_RNA from 1 species